rnacentral:rRNA from 1 species
UACGUAGGGUGCGAGCGUUAAUCGGAAUUACUGGGCGUAAAGCGUGCGCAGGCGGUUCGUUGUGUCUGAUGUGAAAGCCCCGGGCUCAACCUGGGAAUGGCAUUGGAAACUGGCGAGCUGGAGUGUGGCAGAGGGGGGUGGAAUUCCGCGUGUAGCAGUGAAAUGCGUAGAGAUGCGGAGGAACACCGAUGGCGAAGGCGGAUCUCUGGGCCUUACCUGACGCUCAGGUGCGAAAGCUAGGGGAGCGAACAGG